ensembl:lncRNA
CGAAGCCCCCACUCCGGGCAGGUCUCGCCUCUCUAAGGCUCCACCCACUGUGUCUGCAGGAAGCUAGGACCCAGCCUUGAACCCACCGGUGCUUGGGAGACACUUGAGGCCCAAAGCACCACGCCGACAGGGACGGCUUCGAGGUAGUCCUGUGGCAGUGUGCAGGUAGGGCAUGCGCUGAACACGCGCUUCGGGCUCUGUCUGUGGGCAGAGGAGGAGGGUUCGGCCGUCCCCAGGAGCCUGUCCACAGCCAGGGAGCCGCUCAGCCCGGGCCUCCGCCUGGGGUGGUCAUCCUGGGUUCAGGACUUGUCGUUUUGUUUAUUGGAGAAUAACAGGAAAUGCAGAUGGAACUGAGGAACAAAACCCAGCAUUUAUUCUUCAGAUGUCCUUGCAGAUCUGGACAUGAAGUCGACUUUGGAGUUUAACUCCAGGGCCACCAGAAAACCACUCUUUCCAAACUCUUGCUGGGGAUUUAGCUCAGUGGUUCUGUCGCCUGCCUCGCAAGCCCAAGGUCCCGAGUUCGGUCCCUGGUUCCAAAAAAACAAAAACCAAAACCCGCCAAAAAACACCAAACUCUUACACCAUGUUCUGCCUCAAACUGUGGGUUCAUUUCUGUCUGAAAAGAGCUUUUCACAUGACUGUUAGAGGGACAGCAAACUUCUUGAUGAUUGUAAGUGCUUUCAUUUUCCCUUGUCAGAGAAUGACAUAGGCCACUCCUCCCCUUCCCAGGAAAGCAGAGUCUGGAUCUUGACUUGGUGUGAUGGCCAGGAGGAGGACUUUACGUGCAGCCUCCUGUAGAGCUAGAAGUGGCAUGUGACCAAGCUGUGGCCAGUGAGAUACAACAGGACAUGUUCGUGCAGGUCCUACGAAGUGUUCCUAGGGAGGGCUCCAUGCUUCUCUGCCUCUUUCUUUUUCCUGCUGUCUGUCUGUCUGGACUCCCAGGAAGAUCACUGGAGCUCAAGCAGCCUUCUUGGCCCCCACGGUGGCAGGCUGGGUGACAGAGCACUAAAGACAAGAGUCUGAGUCCCUGCUUCCUGUGGGGUUUCCAAGAGCCCCAGACUUUCUAUGUGAGAGCAAAAUAAGCUUCUGCUUUGUCUAAAUUUCUCUCCUUUUCUGAGUCAUCAUCAUCAUUUGUUGUUGUGUGGGGCUGAACCUCAUUCUAAAUGAUACCGUAUAAGCCAGCCUUCUUAUCAUGAGACACACAACCUGACACCCAUGACAUAAAAGAGCAGAGGUUUAGUUUGACUCACAGUUGCAGGGGAUUCAGUCCCUGAUCGGCUGCUCCAAGGCAGGAAUGUCAUGGUGGAAGGGCAUGGUGGAGCAAAGCUGCUUAGUCCAUGGUGGCCAGGAGGCAGAGGAGGAGACAGCACCAGAGAGGAAGGGGCUGGGACCAGACAUAGACCCAAGGCCAGCCCUCCAGGACCCACCACGCACACCCAGAUGGGCCUCCUCAUCCCUAGGUGGAUCCCAAGCCAGUCAAGCUGAUCCCGCCCUGACUGCCUCAGGGACACAGUGAGGCUUCGGCCUUUGACAGCUGGCAGCAUGCCUGGCACCGUGGGUGAGCUGUGAGCACACAUGGGCGUGAGAGGACCCCGGGACCCCGUGGAGGUGAGGGCAGCCCACACUGACUCCCUACUGCUCCUCUGUGAGACCAGGAACUCGGGCAGAGAGACUCCGUCCUGGCCAUGCAGGCGCAGCCCAGCUGCGGUCUCGGAGGAGCACAUGCGUCUCUCUGAGAGUGGUUUAGUCUGAUUCGUGGUGAGGAGCACACUCGCUGGGCACAGCACCUGCACACCUAGGACACGCUUACCUGGAAGUGCGUGGGCCCGGCCAGUGUUACCGUCACUGCCUGGUGUCUAUGUGUCGCCUUUUGCCGUCUGCAGGCACAGUGGCCUCCAGGGCCGGUGUGCAGUCCUCGGGCUCAGGUGACAGUCGGUGGAGACUCAGAAAUGCUGCCCAGGAGCUGCUCAGCAGGCGAGGUGCUGCACACCUGUGACCCCAGCACUCCGGGAUGCUGAAGCAGGAGGAUCGUAAGUUUGAGCCUAGCCUCGGGCAGCUAAGGGACUCAGGAGGACCUUGUCUCAAAAUUAGAAAAAAUAAAAGAAGAAGAAGAAGAAAAGAAAAGGCAAAAGAAAAAGAAAAGAGCUGCUUCAGCUGGAGGCCUCGAGAGGCACAGUUGGAUUCUGUUUCCAGCCCAGCCCUGGGGCCCUUGAGCCAGAGCCGGACGCUGGGCUGGCUUGCUCUCUCGGAGCUCGGUCCCUGGGGCGGGACACGGGCGAGCACCCUCCUGCCUGGAUCUGAGGUCAGGCCAAGGUCUCUGCGCCCGAGCUCUUCCUGCUGGCCCCACCCCAGGUCCAAACUCUGCCGAUGGCAGGAGUUUAAUAUUUGAUGCUGAAGAGAAGCUGCCGGGAACAUCUAGAACAUCUCAUGUGCUGCUGCAAUUGUGGCGUCCUGGCCCGUAAACAAAGAGCCGGUUCUGUAAAAGCCACUACCAGAAGCAAAAUGGCAAGGCUGCCAGGAAAACCUUUAAAAGGCGGGGGGCAGCAGGAAGGCCAAGGUCAGGCACGGGGCCCGGGGGGCCCGGGUGGCCUGCAGGGCGGCACCUCGCGUCCUGAGCCCAGAGCCCACAGUGGCUCGAGGGGCUGGGAUCCAGUCCAGGAUGCCUGCCGGUGGGCUGGGACAUGGCGUCCUGGCUGGGGCUGCUUCCUGAGGGUGUCUGUCCCGGCGGCGAACGCCCAUGCGUCAGCUGGUGGCCGAACCUCACACUCACUGAGCUUCCUCAUGGAGCUCCCCUUGCUGGUGGGGCAGAGAGCACACGUCCUGCAGUCACUUGUGUGUGAGUGUGCAUGUGUGUGUCGGGGGUGCAGGGAGCCAACCCAGGGCCUUCCCACUGAGCUGCAUCCCCAGCCCUUUUUAUUUGGAGACAAGGUCUCGCUAAGUUGCCCAGGUUGGGCUUGUGCUUGGAUCCUCCUUCCUCAGCCCCCCAGACUGCUGGGAGUAUAGUCCUGCUCCACUACAGUCACUCUGCCUCGCUGCCCGUGCUGCCGCCUCAGCCUCAGCUGCUCCAGGUCCCUCAGGAGCUGCAGCCCACCCUGCCCUCUGGGCCUCCCCGAGUGGGUGCUCUCCUUGGUCUCCCUGGCUCGAAGCCUUUGCCAGUAAUCCCUUUGGGUUAAUUCGCCUUAUGCUGCCGUGGCUGGCAGGAGAUGAGGACUCACCACCGAGGUUCCAGUAACGUCCCCUUCCCAGUCCCCUACAGUGGAGGAGCUGCUCAAGAGCGCGCUCUGUUCAGCAAUGGUGUGGGACCUCAGGACGCAGAGACCUCUUUCCCUCAGGCAGCCAAAGAACAGUAGGAACACAGCCACUUGCAUUCCUGACUCCCCGAAUGAAGGCUGCAGGGACACAUAUGUUUGAGCUGAGUGACUGCCCCUUUGGGAGAAAGGGAGCCUCAUCCACCCAUGCAGUUGCUUCUCCAGGAAGUCUCUUUGUCCAGCCAAGCUGACAAGAUGAACUGGCAGACCACCGGUAAAACACUGAGUCAGUUCUGUGCGUGGACCCAGCUGUGGAGCCGCCUGUGAGGUGAGGACACCGGGGCCUCAGUUGGCUGCAGACCCUGGUGGGAACCCUGUGUGUGCCCAGCCCCUCAAGCAGCAGUGUCUCCGUGGGCACGGUCAUCCGCAGACCACCUUGCGGGGCAGCUUUCCCACUGGGACAGACAUCUGGUGCGGGCACUGAGGAGGAGGAAGAGCUAUUUGGCUCACGGUUCAGGUGCUGUAUGCCUGGGCGCACAGUACAUGGUGGUGGGAGCUGUGCUGUACCAGGCUUCUCACCUCACAGAAACCAGGAAGCACAGAGGAAGGGGAGGGUCCCCACCUCUCUGAGCCCACGCCCCAGUGACCUCACUUCCACCCACCAGGCCCCCCACCUGCUCCCAGGAGCAGCGGGCGCUGGCAUAGGACAUCCGGGAACCACACCAUGACAGCCGCUGAGCCUGCAGCUCCUGCUCUGCUUGGGGAUGCGAACGAC